rnacentral:rRNA from 1 species
GACGAACGCUGGCGGCGUGCUUAACACAUGCAAGUCGAACGGAAAGGCCCUGCUUUUGUGGGGUGCUCGAGUGGCGAACGGGUGAGUAACACGUGAGUAACCUGCCCUUGACUUUGGGAUAACUUCAGGAAACUGGGGCUAAUACCGGAUAGGAGCUCCUGCUGCAUGGUGGGGGUUGGAAAGUUUCGGCGGUUGGGGAUGGACUCGCGGCUUAUCAGCUUGUUGGUGGGGUAGUGGCUUACCAAGGCUUUGACGGGUAGCCGGCCUGAGAGGGUGACCGGGCACAAUAGGACUGAGGUACGGCCCAGACGCCUACGGGAGGCAGAAGUGGGGAAUAUUGCACAAUGGGCGGAAGCCUGAUGCAGCAACGCCGGGUGCGGGAUGACGGCCUUCGGGGUGUAAACCGCUUUCGCCUGGGACGAAGCGUGAGUGACGGUAAUGGGUAAAGAAGCACCGGCUAACUACGUG